GUCUACGGCCAUACCACCCUGAACGCACCCGAUCUCGUCUGAUCUCGGAAGCUAAGCAGGGUCAGGCCUGGUUAGUACUUGGAUGGGAGAUAUCUGCUUCUUGGUAAGAAAGAAAAGUUUCAAGUUGCAAAUU
ensembl:rRNA 5S_rRNA 5S ribosomal RNA